rnacentral:lncRNA from 1 species
GCUGGUAUGAUAUUAACUUGUGGGGUUCACUUAUUAACCUUUUUCUUCUUUUUCUCCUUUUCUUGAUCACAUAUUAUUCAGGAUGGAUAUGGAUUUUCUUUUUCAUUCUUUUUCUUUUCUUAUUCUUCUUCCACACCACCCAGCUUUUUAUUCUUUUUCACUUAGUCUUUUCCUUUUAUUCUACCUUUCUUCAUACCCAGUUUACAUUACAUACUCCUAUGAUAGCCAC